UAUCCAGAGAGAUUAGAGCGCCUGCCUAGCUUAAUACUACAGACAGGCAAGAGGUGACCUAAUUGAGGUGUACAGUAUUAACAUCUCGGAGAGCACUACUCAGUCGAGUGUCUAUACCUGGAGCUACUGGAUGCCUGCUCCACAAGGGGUUACAGUUCUUGAUUGAAGAAACCACAAGUCCAGAAAAAUGUGAGGACAAACUUUUUUCGAGUGAGAGUUGUGAACUCGAGGAACAACCUGCCAGAGUGUUGUGAUGGCACUGAUUGCGAGCUGCUUCAAGACCAGACGUGACCAACACUGGAGCAGGUUCAGAUACAUUCAGGAGACGGUGCAUGCCCAGUACAGUACUUGCCAACAAUGAGUCACAGGGACGUGAAUGACUGACCAAGUGACUAACAAGCAGAGUUGUGGCGAAGAGGUUAAAAGUUCCAUUGUGGGUUGGUGACCUGUGCCUGGGUGGGCUAUCAUAAAAAAGUGUAUCCCUCAGCAGUACAGUAUCUGGUAAAUACUAUAAGAGUACACUAACUUACUUCAGUAUUCUACAACUCUCUCAAUGUUAUUUAGUCUAGAAAUAAGCUUUCAAAGUGUCAUCAAUCUUCUAUAAUCACCAUUUACCUCAUACCUCAAACUCACGUGAAAGCAAGUAAAUUUGUCACUAACACCAACAUGCACAGUCGCUGAGCCUGAUUGUCCAAUUUAUCCUCAUUAAUAUAAUGGAAAAUGAAAUGUAAGACAAUUAUUCUACUGUUUAUUCUUAAAUUUUAUAUUUAGAAUGAUAAAAAUUUUCAUAAAAUAGAUUUUCAGUUAACAGAUAUUU